rnacentral:tRNA from 1 species
GCCGAAGUGGUGGAAUUGGUAGACACGCUGGUUUCAGGUUCCAGUGCAGCAAUGUGUAGGAGUUCGAGUCUCCUCUUCGGCACCA